rnacentral:rRNA from 1 species
AUAUUGCACAAUGGGUGCAACCCUGAUCCAGCCAUCCCUCGUGUGUGUAGAAGGUCUGCGGAUUGUAAAGCACUUUAAGUUGGGAGGAAGAGUUUUAGGCUAUUACCCAGCAGUUUUGACGCAACCAAGAGAAUAAGCACCGGCUAACUAUGUGCCGACAGCCGCGGUAAUACAGAGGGUGCAAGCGUUAAUCGGAAUUACUGGGCGUACAGCGCGCGUAGGUGGUUCAGUAAGAUGGGUGUGAAAUCCCCGGGCUUAACCUGGGAGCUGCUUUCAUAACUGCUGAGCUAGAGUACGGUAGAGGGUAGUGGAAUUUCCUGUGUGGAGGUGAAAUGCGUAGAUAUAGGAAGGAACACCAGUGGCGAAGGCGACUACCUGGACUGAUACUGACACUGAGGUGCGAAAGCGUGGGGAGCAAACAG